rnacentral:rRNA from 1 species
GACGAACGCUGGCGGCAUGCCUAACACAUGCAAGUCUAGGGGUAGCAAUACCACUGGCGCACGGGUGAGUAGCACGUAGGUUAUCUGCCCCCAUCACAGACAUAACCCCGGGAAACCGGGGCUAAUAUCUGAUGAGGUCGCGAGAUCAAAGCUUCGGCGGAUGGGGAUGAGCCUGCGGCUGAUUAGCUAGUUGGUGAGGUAAUGGCUCACCAAGGCGACGAUUAGUAGCUGGUCUGAGAGGACGAACAGCCACACUGGAACUGAGACACGGUCCAGACUCCUACGGGAGGCAGCAGUGAGGAAUAUUGGUCAAUGGGAGCAAUCCUGAACCAGCAAUGCCGCGUGUGGGAUGACAGGGCUUCGCCUUGUAAACCACUGUCGGACGGGACGAAAGGAGGCCUCGGGCCUCUGGGACGGUACCGUCAAAGGAAGGGUCGGCUAACUACGUGCCAGCAGCCGCGGUAAU